UACGAAGGGGGCUAGCGUUGUUCGGAAUUACUGGGCGUAAAGCGCACGUAGGCGGAUUGUUAAGUGAGGGGUGAAAUCCCAGGGCUCAACCCUGGAACUGCCUUUCAUACUGGCAAUCUCGAGUCCGAGAGAGGUGAGUGGAAUUCCGAGUGUAGAGGUGAAAUUCGUAGAUAUUGGGAAGAACACCGGUGGCGAAGGCGGCUCACUGGUCCGAUACUGACGCUGAGGUGCGAAAGCGUGGGGAGCAAACAGG
rnacentral:rRNA from 1 species